UUGGGCUUAUAUUAUGGUAUUUUUAAGUGUUAAGGAUGUAUUUUAUUAGGCCCAUUAUUAAGUAGUAGUAAUUAAGUGGUGGUGUUACUUGUCUUUUUGGAAAAAGUGAUAGCAUAGCAAAGAAAGAGAAACCGUGAAAGAAGAAGAAGAAAUAGAGAAAGGGGGUUAGGGUUGUGAAGAGGAGAAGAAGGAGACCCAAAAUGUUGCUCUAAAGUGUCAUUUUUCUCCAAUUUUCUAUUGAAUCUUCUUAGAGCUACACUCAAUCUAAGGUACUCAAGUAUAGCUUUGGAAAUUGUCGCUUCAUCGAGUCCUGUUGGUGUGUCGCUCUGAUACGUAGCACUCGGGGGGGUUGUUUACAUUGUUGUUCUAUGUUGUUAAUGUUUUAUUUGUUGUUAUUAUAACCAUUGAAUAUAAGUUGAAUAAUAUGAAGUACUUGUUAUACUUCUAAGUUGUUUGAGUUGAAUAAAGCUGAUAGUUGACUGUUAUUCGAAUGCUAUGUAUCAUUGUUAAAUGACAUACAAGUUGAAGUUUUAAGUUGAUAUGUGAUACUCCAAUGUGUUGUUUGAAAA